CCUGCUCUCUGUGCCACCACCCUCACAAGUAUAUUUGGUGGGAAUGUGGGAGAGGGCCUUUUCAAUGGCUGCUGCCCAGGCUUUAGAACUCCCUUCCCAGAGAGGCUAGACUGGCAUCCUCCUUACUAUCUUUCCACAAAUGUGCACCUUGAAGGAAUACAUGAAGAGGUCUUCAGAUCAUCACCUGGAACCAAGGAUCUCAAGUUUAUCAGCUCAAGGACUGACUAGACCUUGAAAGCAGCCUGUGAGGGAGAUGGCCAGGCAGGCCCAGCUCCAUCAGGGCUAGCCUGGAAGAAGAGAC